rnacentral:rRNA from 1 species
UACAGAGGUCCCAAGCGUUGUUCGGAUUCACUGGGCGUAAAGGGUGCGUAGGUGGUGAGGUAAGUCGGAUGUGAAAUCUCCGAGCUCAACUCGGAAAUGGCAUUGGAAACUACCUUGCUCGAGGGUUGGAGGGGGGACUGGAAUGCUUGGUGUAGCAGUGAAAUGCGCAGAUAUCAGGAGGAACACCGGUGGCGAAGGCGGGUCUCUGGGCAACAACUGACGCUGGAGGAGCGAAAGCGUGGGGAGCGAACAGGG